AGCGGCGAACGGGUGAGUAACACGUGGGCGACCUGCCCUCAGCUCUGGGAUAAGCCUGGGAAACUGGGUCUAAUACCGGAUAGGACCACAUGUCGCAUGGUGUGUGGUGGAAAGUUUUUUCGGCUGAGGAUGGGCCCGCGGCCUAUCAGCUUGUUGGUGGGGUGAUGGCCUACCAAGGCAACGACGGGUAGCCGGCCUGAGAGGGCGACCGGCCACACUGGGACUGAGACACGGCCCAGACUCCUACGGGAGGCAGCAGUGGGGAAUAUUGCGCAAUGGGCGAAAGCCUGACGCAGCGACGCCGCGUGGGGGAUGACGGCCUUCGGGUUGUAAACCUCUUUCGACCUUGACGAAGGCCUUCGGGUUGACGGUAGGGGUAGAAGAAGCACCGGCCAACUACGUGCCAGCAGCCGCGGUAAUACGUAGGGUGCGAGCGUUGUCCGGAAUUAUUGGGCGUAAAGAGCUCGUAGGCGGUGUGUCACGUCGAUCGUGAAAACUUGGGGCUUAACCCUGAGCUUGCGGUCGAUACGGGCAUCACUGGAGUUCGGCAGGGGAGACUGGAAUUCCUGGUG
rnacentral:rRNA from 1 species